GGAGUAAAAGUCGUAACAAGGUCUCCGUUGGUGAACCAGCGGAGGGAUCAUUAUAGAGUUAUUACAACUCCCAACCCUUUGUGAACUUACUUUGUUGCCUCGGCGGAAGCUACCCGGUAUCUACCCUGUAGCGACCCCGCCGGUGGUUUUCUAAACUCUUGUUAUUUAAUAGAAAUCUGAGAGUCUUAUUAAAAUAAGUCAAAACUUUCAACAACGGAUCUCUUGGUUCUGGCAUCGAUGAAGAACGCAGCGAAAUGCGAUAAGUAAUGUGAAUUGCAGAAUUCAGUGAAUCAUCGAAUCUUUGAACGCACAUUGCGCCCAUUAGUAUUCUAGUGGGCAUGCCUGUUCGAGCGUCAUUUCAACCCUUAAGCCUAGCUUAGUGUUGGGAGUCUACUUUGGCGGAGCUACCCUGUAGCUACCCUGUAGCUCCUUAAAUUUAACGGCGGAGUUAUAGCAAUCUCUGAGCGUAGUAAUUUAUUAUCUCGCUUUUGCAGCUGUUAUAGCCUUAGCCGCUAAACACCCAAUUUUUAAUGGUUGACCUCGGAUCAGGUAGGAAUACCCGCUGAACUUAAGCAUAUCAAUAAGCGGGAGGAA
rnacentral:rRNA from 1 species